GAAGAAGGUUUUGUCGUUCGUAGUGGAAGAGACGUAAGUGUUAAGUGAUGUUAGAUAAAGUUUUUCCAAACGUGGAAAAGUGCUGGUGAAAGUGGAAAUUCGCUGCUAAAGAAUGUGAGAAAACAUUGAUUAUUCCCGAAGGAUGUGUUUUAUGCUAGAAAAACUAACAGUGGACAGCAAAUUGUGCCAUAAUUUGCAACACGAAAUGAGUUACAUUUUCCACUACGUCUUCAAUCUUUGCCUGCCUCGGGGCUCGGUUUUACAGUAAAAAUUUUAAUGGCAGCGAAAAAGUGAUGACUGCUUCGUUGGUUGUACAGUGGUGCCAGUGUACCACAAGAACAACUUAGCGCAGGCAGUGCCGUGUCGCGAUCCGAUGAACAGGCUUGGUAAAUGAACUGAAAAGUGUUCGGGCGUAUUGGAUUUUUCUGUCUGUUAUUUCCGCGUUUUGGAUUUUGGAGGAAGUGCGCCAUGAAAUUGUUUUCGGAUUAACGAUUGAUUGAUUUUUUCCGGAUAGUGCUGGGAUUGCCCGGAAGAAGGUUCAAGCUGAACAGAUAAAAAAAAUUGCAUGUUUUCGUGGUUGCAUCGUUAGUCUUUGUAUUGGACUUAUCAAUGAUGAAAAAUGAAAAAAGUUUUACGCAGUUUUAGUUUCUAAAGAGCGGAUAAUAAGUUGAGUGGAAUGUAAUCGUACCGAAAGCUGGUAGCUCAAUAGGCGAAUGAGAAGAAAUGAAAAGUGUAAAUUUGGUUUGCUGCCGCUAGAAAAGAAGAAAAGUGAUUGUCCGAUUACUGCAGUGUCAGUGAUGUGACCAAACACGAAAAAAGUUAGGUGAUCCAGAAAAGCUAUUGAAGUGUUUUCAAUACUGGAUAUUACUCAAACGAUAGCGACAUAAACGUUGUGAAAAAUUAAAGUGGUUAUAUUAUACAUUAGAAACUGACUUGGCCUACUUGGAUUACCCGACAAUUCGAGUAUUAUUUUGCUGUGAAAAAUUAGGUUAUCUACGGUUUUCAAUUUCUAAGGUUAUAGCAUGCAAUUUCGGCACGGCAACCAGCGGUUCACACUUUGUGCUGGCUGGGUUAACGAGUGAAACAGCUAGUUAAUGCCAACAUAUUUCAUCGUUGAAAGAAAAACAAACAAUUUCCCUCCUGCUCGUUUGCGCUACAUCUCUUGCACGCGCUAAAACCGAGCGAAGAGCCGUGACGAAUACUUAGCGAGAACGAAGAAGUGCCACAUAUGUAGCUUCCGGAAUCAGACUUUUAGGAACGAUCUUCCGGAUGCUACUGUUAACCAUCCACGGCAGUCGCAUCAGAAAAUGGCACUUUCCAAACCUUGCAGCGCCUUUAUCGACAUCGGAGCGAAACGUCAAUUGUCGCGGCAGAGAUCGGCAGCAGUAGGUAACGGAGCUAGCGAAGUGGAUGAAAAUUGUCGGAAGCAGGCACGGCGCCUCCCGUUGGCCUUAUUGGUGGUAAAAUAAACUGUCGGAGAGGAACACACCAGGCAGUAGUUUGCUUUUACAAGUGUUCUAAUUGUGUUCACGCUUCUGAUUCCUUUUGAGUGAUUUUCGUAAUUGCUAUAGAAAUAAAGCCUCAGUUGUAGGUUAAUGUAAUAGAAAAAUAACUAUAAUAAGUGAAAAAGAAUGAAACGAAAAAAAUAGCGAAAAUUUGUGUACAAGUGAAAUUGAGGUAAGCCGCAAAGUGUCAAAUAAAAGAAACAAAGUGAUAUCCGCAAAAGAAAGAAGUUACAUAAAAAGAAACAGAUUAAAGUUUCAUGGAAGCAUCUAGCCCGCUAAAAGUUUUCUAAACGAAAAAAGUAAUUAGUCAAAAGUUGAGUGAGUGAAACAGAAACCGCAACAAAAUGUCUUUUCUCAAUAACCUGAAGAAGGUCUUUCACCUUGGCGGUGGAGAGGCGAAGAAGAAGCGAAUUUUCAACAACAUUCGGAUGGAUACGGAUCCGAAUGAUUUCUGGGAUAUGGUCGGCGAGCUGGGGGACGGUGCGUUCGGGAAGGUGUACAAGGCGCUGAAUAAGGAAACCAAACAGCUGGCUGCCGCGAAAAUGUGCACCCUCGAGGACGAGGAAAACUUGAGUGAUCAUAUGGUGGAGAUCGACAUCUUGUCCGAGAUCAAGCAUUCCAACAUCGUGGAGCUGUACGAAGCUUUCUCAAUCGACGACAAGUUGUGGAUGCUUAUCGAGUAUUGUGAUGGCGGUGCCUUAGAUAGUAUUAUGGUGGAACUGGAGAAACCUUUGACUGAACCUCAAAUUGCCUACGUCUGCAAGCACAUGUGUGCCGGCUUGCAUCACCUACAUAAAAACAAGGUGAUACAUCGUGAUUUGAAAGCCGGUAACGUGCUGCUAACCAUGGACGGCGGAGUCAAGUUGGCGGAUUUUGGUGUUUCUGCGAAAAACAAGCACACAAUGCAGAAACACGAUACCUUUAUCGGAACGCCGUAUUGGAUGGCCCCGGAGCUAGUGCUGUGUGAAACGUUUCGUGACAAUCCGUACGAUUUUAAGGUUGACAUUUGGUCACUUGGUAUUACGUUAAUUGAAUUUGCUCAAAUGGAACCACCGAAUAGCGAAAUGUCACCGAUGCGUGUGCUGCUCAAAAUCCAGAAAAGUGAUCCACCAAAACUAGACCAGCCUUCUAAGUGGUCCAAAAGUUUCAACGAAUUUUUGGCAAAGGCUCUGGUCAAAGAUCCUCAACAGCGGCCUGCAACCGACAUACUGAUGGGUUUAGCGUUUAUUUGCGGUGAUUUGGAUCCGAAACCGAUAAAAGACUUGUUGCUGGAGUAUAAAGCAGAUGUUGUUGAAGAAGAGUUGGUCGAUGAAGAAGCUGAGGAACCCCGCAGUUCUGCGCUCCCGCUCGACUUGGACGAUGAUUCAUCAUCGUUGCAAAGUCAAGAAACUUACAAACUUCCAGAUACUCCCACAUCCUUAUCGAAAUCAUCCAGGGAUUCGAAAGAAUCCACACCUGUUCCUGUUGAAGACGAUGGCAAAGCAAAGCCGGCCGCAUCAGCAGCUACAGCUACGCCUUCUUUGCCAGUGUCCACGCCAUCAGCUGCUUCCAGUUCAGCGCCCAGAUCGACACCAGCAGCAGCGUCCGUUACAGCGGCUUCUACAGUUGCUACUAAUGAUAGUAAUGUACAAAGUGAUGCUAACAAGUCAUCGGGUUUGGUUCCUGCUCCAGUGUUACCUAACAUCGCACAACGAUCUCCCAAAGAGGAGGUAGAGCCGAGUGAAAAUACUGCCAAUACAAGUGGCCACAGCAGCAGCAGUAGUAGCAACAUUGAAGUUGAGAAGAAAGGCAUCAUCAAAAAGGAAAAAGGGCCGGCCCCACCACCCCCGCAAAUUCCGGUGUCAUCUAGUAGCAAAACGGCAUCAUCGAGUGUAACGGCUCAAGCAACUGUCCCGGCUGUUCCAGCGGAGACCUCACAUACUCCCGUUACCAGAGGCGUUGAUCGCCCUGAUGAUGCAGCGACUUUCUCAGACCUACCAGCAUCCCCAGUUCAAGUCGAACGUUCAGCUAGCAGUGACGAGCUAAUCAGGUCACCGAAGAAGGAUCAUGCUCCUUCUCCACCUAAGCAUUCUUCGAAAGAAAGUUCUUCCCCUUCACCACAACCGCUCGAAGACCCGACUGUCUGGGUGAAAAGCCCUGUUAGUAGAAAACUUACACCAGAAGAACUUUCUGGUGAUAUGCUGGAAGCAAGAACUGAAUCGCCUUAUUCCAAAGAAGCACAACCCGUUAAUACAACUGUUGCCAUUCCAAAACCCACACCUUCGUUCGAUGAUGAAUCACAGCAUUUCCCUUACCAUCAGAUUCCACCACCAUUGUUGCCCGAGGAUGAAAUUCGGGUAACAUCGACUCCGAACAGCAAACAAAUCAGCGCUAACAAUACCUCGUUGAUAACGAUCAACAACGACACCGUACUUGCAGAUCCAUCCAACAGUCUUGCCACCAACGUCAGCCAAGUCACCGUUGUAACUAGCCACCCGCCGGUGAUAAUUGAUAAUUCCGUCGUUCCAUCUGGUUCUUCGUCGUCUGCUUCAUCGACGAAAUCCUUUGGAUCUUCUCAGCGAAGAUCGCGUGUCAUAUCGCCAAAGGGCAGUGAUGAGGUUGUAAUCGUCUCCAAUGAGCUGAACAAAACUCACGUUAAUGAAUCAUCUACGGAUGACGACUUCCAAUCGUUGGACAGUUUGGAAAACCUUUCGCCUAAAUACAAAAAGCAGCAACAACUGCUACAUCAACAACAACAGCAGCAGCAACAACAACAGUCCACGAUUGGCCAAAUUGCUCGUAAGCUGGACGAAAGUGAAGUGUUGAUCGUCAGUCCAAGCUUCAUUGGUGAAGAGCAAAGUGAGCAGCAAGAGCAGGAUGAUUUCAUCAACGAUGAACUGUUUGUAGGUAAUAAUCACAGCAACAGCAAACAUCUGGACACUAGUCAUGUUUCGGUGGUCACCGUUGGGGAAGAGGAGAUUAAAGUCAAGGAUUCCUCGCACCAUGCGCACCUAAUUAACAGUAGCAGUAGCACCAGUCAUCAUCACUUGCAUCAGCAGCAGCAACAGCACCUGUUGAACCAUCAUCACGAUUCCAUCAGCGACCUGUCGAAUGUCAGCUGUGGUCCCAGUGAAUCCAGCGAUGACAUAAAGGUUGUUGAUGUCAUUAUGAACCAACCUAUGGCUGGAACGACCAGUACAAGUAGUGUGAGUACAGGUAGUACAGUCACAGCUGCCGGUGGUUUUACUCAGCGGUCUCCUUCGGGUUCGUCGAUUUCAUCGCCGCUACGAAGCGGUUCUAGCAGUAAGUUGAACGGAGACUUCAAUCAUAGUCGGGAGGAUGUCAGUAUCAUAGUGAAUAAACGAAAGAUUGUUGAGAAGCAAAGGAUUUCGCCUGAUAGCAGUGUUGGAUCGAUGGAUGGUGGUGGUUCGGUACGAUCAGCCAGUACACCAUUGCAUCAUCCUCAGCAGCAGCCAACGCAGCAACACGUUGCUGGCAGCAAACAGUUGGAUCGCAGCGAUGCUGAAAGUAUAGCCACUACAACUAGUCACGAUAGCCGCGAGCAAUCGGUCGAUGAAGAGGUACAGCUUCGUCGGAAACCCCCAGUAGUCGAAAUUGAAGAGGACAAGGUCCCACCUAUUAUUAGCAACACGAGAACAAAACCUAGCCAACAGCGCAACUUCAGCAAGGAAGAAAUUCAUCUGCAAAACUUGAAGAAGAAAACACGCAAGCGAACGCGAAAGUUUGAAAUUGAUGGUGUACAAGUAACAACUACCACCAGUAAGGUGAUCUACAGUGAUGAAGAUAGCAACAAAUUGUACGACGAUCACCUGUUUCGCAAGCAGGAGCUACGUGAACUUAAGAUGCUACAGAAGCAAGAGAAAAAGCAGUUCUAUGAGCUUCAGCAGAAGGAAGCGGUUGCCAAAGAACAACAGGAGAAGAAAUUCGAGCAGGAACGAUUGCAGCUGGAGCGAACCUUCGAGGCAGAUAUGGAUGUGCUGGCGCGACAGCACCGGCAAACCGUGGAGAAGUAUGAACAGCAACAAGAGACUGAGCUUAGAAAUACAUCGAAGAAAAUCCGUGCUGAGCAAGAACGUGAUUUGAAACUGUUCCGCGAUAGUCUCAAGCAGGAAAUACGACUGUUGAAACAGGAGGUAGAUCUGCUGCCAAAGGAGAAACGAAAAGACGAAUUUCGCAAACGGAAAACCGCUAUGGAGCUCGAACAUGAAGAGCGUGAGAAGAACUUUCUGGCUACUCUGUCGGAAAAUCACGAGCUUGCUUUGCGACGAAUUAGCGAAAUUUAUCGCGAAAAGUUGUCUGCCGCCGACAAAGGUUACCUACAGCAGAAACAAACGGCAAUGAGAACCCGAGAGGCUAUGCUCUGGGAGUUGGAGGAAAAACACAUUCACGAUAAGCAUCAACUGGCAAAACGUCACGUCAAAGAUCUAUGCUUUAUGCAGCGGCAUCAGAUGAUUAUUCGUCACGAAAAGGAGUUGGAUCAGAUUAAGAGGAUGAUAUCCCGAAAGGAGGAAGAAUUGUUGAAAAGACAAACCAUAGAGAGGCGGGCUCUGCCGAAACGAAUUCGUGCCGAACGCAAAGCUCGUGAUAUGAUGUUCCGUGAAUCGUUGCGGAUAUCGAUGACCACGGAUCCAGAACUGGAGCGUGAAAAGUUGAAGAAGUUCCAAGAGCAAGAGAAGAAACGCUACACUCAAGAGCAGAUUCGGUUUGAAACCAAACAUAGUAAGCAGCUAGAAGAACUGCGAGCUACCUCAGAUGGUUCUAUAAGGGAACUCGAACAACUGCAAAACGAGAAGCGGAAGCAACUGUUGGAGCAUGAAACCGCCAAGUUGCGCGAAUGUGAUGAAGCACUGCAGAAGGAGCUACGCGAGUGGAAGUCACAGUUACUUCCUAGGAAGCAGGUUGUGCAGAAAGAGCUCGAGUGGAUGGUAGAUGAGUACGAGCAGAAAUGGGGUCCGGUAGAUCGACGUGAUUUCGACGGUGAAUUCGUUGUUCCUCCGGAAAUUCGGAACCGAACCAAUUCGCUUAAUACUCGCUCCUUAAGGCUGCACGGUGGUUUGUUAAGCAUUUCCCGCUCCCGUACUUUCCUUACUUUACCGGUGCAGGAUGGUCGCAAUAGUAUACACAGUUCAGUACCAGAUUUAAGCAGAUCCAUGCCCAACACUCCCAACUCUGGACACAAACUGUCCUUGGCUUCUUCGUAUGAUUCGGUUCUUGAAGAGAAUGAGCACGAAAAUAUGGGCCCACGUCGUGCCGGUCCUGCUGAAAACCAAUCGGCUAUUAAAUAUAUCUUCACUGACGACGGGGUUCAUUUGCGUAGGAAAUCUGAAGAUUUAUUGUCAGGCAGGCGUACCAAACUUCCAGUUAAAAAUGACUGCAUGAAGCAGGAUUACUACGGUAAUCGUAACCGUCACGCUCCAAGUAUGCCCCCUCUUCAAAGCCAUUACCGUCAAAGUUCAGAACCAAAUAACCGCAUUGUUCCCAUCCGUGUCAAUGCGAUCAAAAAACCGAACAGUAUUUUUGAAGGAAUCACCAAUAGGUCAAGUCUAAUGAACCAGCCUGUAGGAGGGACUAUGCCACGAAAUUCUUCGGGUUGGGGUAACAGUCGUCUUGGUGCAACUAACUAUCCCUCAGAUGUUAGUAUUAAUAAGCUUACAACAUUCACUUCAGCCCGAGGUGGAAUCCCAUUGCCAACGACCGAACAAUAUCAAAACGGGGAUGGGAAAACCAAUACUGACAACAAGUCAAGUUCUAGGUUAAAAUUGUCCCCUUCUACACCCGUUCUUUUGUCCCCUUCUAGCGACAUAAGAGGAAAAGGCUCAUCUGCUUAGAAAUGCGAUGUAUUAACUGUAAACUUAGUUUUAGUGUUAGCUAGUCAUGAAAAAGUUCAACUUAAUAGUAAAAUAAUUGUACAUUUAAUAGUUUUCCCCUCGCAACUGCCCUGGCACUGAACCUGUGUAUACGCCCGAUGAUCUUUCCUUAGUUAAAUUAUUUUAACGAAUCCAAGCACUAAAUCAAGUCAAUCAAGCACUAGGAUAUCCGCACAUUUUGCAUUGGUGUUCUAUUGGUGGUACAACUACUAAAUAGUAUUAUGAGGCAAUACUAAUGCUAGUAUUACAGUAACUGUUUUUCCUAAUCCUUCAUCUAACACUCCGAAUUAACAAACCUGCGAGCUCUACUAACCAUUGGCAGAAGGAUACCCAUCGCUUAUUAUUACUCCGAAAAGCUCUAGUGCACCUGGGAUGAUAAUUACCGAACUUUCAUCACCGAUAAAGCUUAUUGUACGGAAGAACGCGUGUCGAUACUAAUUCAUUGAGGCGAAUAAAAACGAAACGAGUUUGACUGAGCGAAGUGAAUGCUACUCAGCUCGACCUGUUCGGCGUAGCAGAAACAAGCGCUUAGAAGAAACGUUCGCCCAGCAGCAGGAGGAGAUGGAGCACAUGUAUGGCAACAGUCUGGUACCGAUGCCACCGAAUUCACCGCAGGCUCACGAUC